UACGUAGGGUGCAAGCGUUAAUCGGAAUUACUGGGCGUAAAGCGUGCGCAGGCGGUUUUGUAAGUCUGUCGUGAAAGCCCCGGGCUCAACCUGGGAAUUGCGAUGGAGACUGCAAGGCUUGAAUCUGGCAGAGGGGGGUAGAAUUCCACGUGUAGCAGUGAAAUGCGUAGAGAUGUGGAGGAACACCGAUGGCGAAGGCAGCCCCCCUGGGCCAAUACUGACGCUCAUGCACGAAAGCGUGGGGGAGCAAACAGG
rnacentral:rRNA from 1 species